UACGUAGGGUGCGAGCGUUAAUCGGAAUUACUGGGCGUAAAGCGUGCGCAGGCGGCGCGUUAAGACAGGUGUGAAAGCCCCGAGCUUAACUUGGGAAUUGCGCUUGUGACUGGCGUGCUGGAGUGUGGCAGAGGGAGGUGGAAUUCCACGUGUAGCAGUGAAAUGCGCAGAUAUCGGGAGGAACACCAGUAGCGAAGGCGGCUCGCUGGGCCAUUCCUGACGCUGAGACGCGAAAGCUAGGGGAGCGAACAGG
rnacentral:rRNA from 1 species